UGCCUGUUUGAUUCUGUCAGUAGCAUGUGUUUGUCCCAAAGAUUAAGUCAUGAAUGUCUAAGUAUGACUGGUACAGUGAAACAGUGAGUGGCUCAUUAAAUCCAUUAUGGUUCCUUUGGUCUUGGCCAAUGGCUUCUCUUCUACUUGGAUAACUGUGGUGAUUAUAGAACUAAUACAUGCCUACUGGUGCUGAUCCACCUCCUCAGGAGGAGGGGAUGCAUGCAUUUAUCAGAUUAAAACAAACCUGGUCAGCUCCUUCCCUUCCCCGUUCAGGGGGUAGGUGCCAGUAGCUUUUGUGACUCUAGAUAACCUUGGCCCUAUUUCCCUAUCAUAUGCCCUGCUCCUUUCCCGCCAGUGUCGGCAAUGACCCAUUCAAAUGUCUGCCCUAUGAACUUUCAAUGGUAGAUGCCUUGCCAUGGUGACCACAAGUGACAGGAAAUCAGGGUUAGUUUACAGACAAGGAUUCUGAGAAACUGCUACCAUAUUCAAGGAAGGCAGCAGGCACAAGAAUUGCUCACUCCUGACCCGGAGAGGUAGUGACCAAUAAUAGCAAUACAGAAUACUUUUAAGACUCUAAUUGGAAUGAAUCCACUUGAAAUCCUUUAAUGAAGAUCCACUGGAGUGCAAGUCUGAUGCCAGCAGCUGCAGUAAUUCCAGCCCCAAUACCAUAUAUUAAAGUUGCUUCAGUAGAAAAAGGUCAUAUUUUGAUAUUGGGAGUGGGCAGGCGGUCUGCCACCAGCAAGUCUCCCCACCCCCAUCCCAGCCUCUUUCCUCUCAGUGUUCCCUCAAUGCUAUUACCUGUGUCACAGGGGCCAUGAAAUGUUUACUUUAAAAAAUUAGAGUGUUCGAAGCAGGCUCCAGUUGCUAGGAUACCACAGCUAGGAAUAAUGCAAUAGGGAUGUAGCUCUAAUCUGUUGACCUUAGGAACUGAGGCCAUGAUUAAGGGGAAUAGCUGGGGCAUUUGCACUGCAUGGCUAGAGGAAAUUUUUGGACCAGCACAUGACUGAACAGACUGAAAGCAAUUUUCCAUGAAUGAUUUCAUUAAGAAUGAAAAGUUGGAGGUUCAAAGUUGAUCAGACUCCUUCACAGUUCCCACCAUAAAGGAUGCUGAGUGGCAAUGUGGCAGCAGCAUUAUCGCCAUGACCUGUCAGGCAACUUCCUGGAAAUCAAUCUUUGGAAUCCAAGGGAAGUAUAGAAGCAAGGCUGAAACUUAAGUGAAUUGAUGGAAGGGUAUCAUCUUAGUCAGGGUUUCUCUUCCUGCACAAAACAUCAUGACCAAGAAGCAAGUUGGGGGAGAAAAUGGUUUAUUCAGCUUACACUUCUACAUUGCUGUUCAUCACCAAAGGAAGCAGGACAGGGAUUCACACAGGGUAGGAACUUGGAGGCAGGAAUGGAUGCAUAAAUCAUGGGGGAAUGCUGCUUACUGGCUUACUUCCUCUGGCUUGCUCAGCUUGCUUUCUUAGAGAACCCAAGAAUACCAGCCCAGGGAUGACACCACCCACAAUGGGCCCUCCAACACUCGAUCACUAAUAGAGAAAACGCCUUACAGCUGGAUCUCACGGAGGCAUUUCCUCAAGGGAGGCUCCUUUCUCUGUAAUGCCUCCAGCUUGUGUCAAGUUGAUAUGCAACUCAGUCAGUACAGGCACCACUAGGAAUGGAUCCUGUGGUUUAAUUUGACUCAACACAUCUGGUCUGGACAUGGAUAGGAUUGACAGAUUGAUAGGUCUUUCGUGAUUCUGGUGGUCAUGUAGGGCCACUCUAAGUUGGCGGAGGGAUUUAUCUGUUUAAUUCUCAUAAUGAAGGAAAAUCUUGCAGCUAAAUAAACAUAAAAGUGGUAUGCUAUACCCAACUUCUUAGGGGAACAAGAAGUUCACCCAAGAUUGAGCAAAAACAAGCCUUUGGUGGCUUUAGAUAAUUAGGGCUACACUAAUGGCUCAGCAUGUGCCACCCAUAACCUUUGAACCCCACUUAUGACAGGCCUCAUGGACUGCAAUUAUUACCCAGGAAGGAGGAAUUCCCAAUAAGUGCAGGUCAUAUGCUUAUGUUCAUUAUGUCCCUGCCCUUUGUACACACUGCCUCUUGCUACCACUUAUUGUAAGGCUUUGUGAGGCACUUUUGAUUGCCCCUCUGUUGUUGGCUCAUAGCCCCAUUGGAGCACUGAGAAGAGGGUUUAAAGUGGGUGAUUCUGACCUGCAAAAAUGUGGCUAGUUUAACUUUCCUCAUAAAGACUGAGCAAUU
rfam:Rattus norvegicus chromosome 12, whole genome shotgun sequence.